rnacentral:rRNA from 1 species
GUCUACGACCAUACCACCCGGAAAACACCGGUUUAAGCCUGGUCGGGCGAAGUUGGUACUUGGAUGGGUGACCGCCUGGGAAUACUUCGUGUUGUAGACU